UACGAAGGGGGCUAGCGUUGUCCGGAUUUACUGGGCGUAAAGAGCGCGCAGGCGGUCGUUCAAGUCGCGUGUGAAAGCCCCCGGCUCAACUGGGGAGGGUCACGCGAUACUGAUCGACUGGAAGGCAGGAGAGGGUAGUGGAAUUCCCGGUGUAGUGGUGAAAUGCGUAGAUAUUAGGAAGAACACCAGUGGCGAAGGCGGCUCACUGGCCCGGUACUGACGCUGAGGCGCGAAAGCGUGGGGAGCAAACAGG
rnacentral:rRNA from 1 species